GACCCUCUGUGCGGCCGGCGCCGGUAAUAAAAAAUCUUCACCUUCCAAAAACAUCAAGGAGUAUUAGAGGGUUUCCUUACAGCCAGAUUUUUUUGGGGAGGGGGGGGACAGGGAGGGGGUUUGCCUCCGAACCAGGGUGCCAGGUUUCCCCCCCCCCUCCCUCAGCCAACCAGUUCCUCACAUCCAACAGAAGCUGAGCCCUGAUAACCCGGCGGGUCGGAGGCAUCCGGAGAGGCAGGAAGGAGCCCAGCAGAAGGAAAUAUUAAAUAGAGCAAUAUAAACACGGCGACGGGAGCCAGCUCACCCUCAAGGAGAAGCAGGGGCUGCAGGCCCUGGCCCAGAAGGUGCAGCGGGACUUGGAGAAGUGUAACAGCAGCCAGACCAACAACCCCAUCCCCAAGGUGAGAUAACACCCCCCGCCCCACCAGCCCUCCCCAGCUCUAGGUGAUGCAAUGACCUUGCUUCAAGCCCCACCAGCUUCAGCAGGGAUGGACGUGGGGGUACGGGGUGGGGGAAGAACCUGCUGGUGAUGCCGUUGUGCGCUCCCUCCAGCCUGGUGGGGGUCUCAGUCCUGGCAUCUCCAGCUGGUGAAGGGGGUUUCCAACCUCAAAGGCCCCUCUCCAGCCUGGUGGGGGUCUCAGUCCUGGCAUCUCCAGCUGCUGGAGGGGGUUCCAACCUCAAAGCCCCCUCUCCAGCUUCGUGGGGGUCUCAGUCCUGGCAUCUCCAGCUGGUGGAGGGGGUUUCCAACCUCANNNNNNNNNNNNNNNNNNNNNNNNNNNNNNNNNNNNNNNNNNNNNNNNNNNNNNNNNNNNNNNNNNNNAUCCCUUGGGGACUCACCACAGCCUGUACAGGGGGUGACCCCCUCCUCAGGCCAGGCAGGGGUGUCACCCUGAGAUGUGGGGAGUUGGGGGGGGGGAAUGGACAACACUAAGGACCCCAACCCUGUGUCCCCCCACCCACCCCCAGCCGAGAAGGCGGUGCUGCAGAGCAAGCUGGACCGGACAGCCCUGACCAAGAAGGAACUGGAAGAAAACUGCCGCAAAGAGGGGUCCACCUUGACUACGGUCACCCAGGUGCAGGAGAGCUGCCAGCAGAACCUGGAGACCCUCAAGGCCUCCUGCAAGGCCACCGAAACCAACCUGGAGCAGCAGAAGAGCGAGUGCAGGAGCCUGAAGUCCGAGAUCAACUACACCUUCCAGCGCAUCAGGGACAAGCUCAACCCCUACAGCUGCAGCUCCGUCCACGAGCAGCUCGACUGGUUGACCCAACAGACGGAGAGGCUUUUCCUCUGGCAGCAGGACCGGGAGACCAACUACGUGACGAAGAAGGUCUGCGAUGUCACCCUCAACCAGUGCCACCUCAACUGCUCCCGGGAGAAGCAGGAGCUGGAGAAGCGGCUGCGGGAGAUGGAGAAGCAGGUGAAGGUGGGGCAGGAGGAGAAGAAGAAGGUGCUGGGGGAGAAGGAGCAGCUGGGCAAGGAGCUGGAGGAGAAGAGCAAGGCGGCCGCGCAGGCCACGUACUUCAGGGACCAGUUCAACAUCUGCAUGAACACCAAGGUGGACACCUUCUUCGACCCCACGGGCUCGCGGGUGCUGGGGGGCAGCGGGCGGAUGGUCCCCUUCCCCAGCACCAGCUCCUACAGCUCCUACGUGGAUGCUCUGAGGAACCAGGGCAUCUUCGGGAACAUGGGUGAGUCCUGAGGAGUGGGGGGUUUGUCACUGUGGGACACCGUCCUCCCCAUCGUGCUGGGGGCCAGCGUGUGUCCCCCCCCAACCUCCCACAGCCCCCAGGACUCAGCCCCCCUUUCUCCAUCCCACCAGGGAAAAUCAACACGGAGGAGAUCCAGCGGUCGGUGCAGAAGAUCAUAGAGCAGUACACGUUGGCCAACCUGAAAAACUCCAGGUGAGGUGGGACGGGGGGCCCGGUACGGGACCCCCACUGGUGCUUUG
rnacentral:lncRNA from 1 species